GGAGUGUUGGAAUCUUUGGGAUUCAGUUGAGAGAGAAACUGUCACUCUGGAGCUGAAGAGGAAAGGAGAGAAGUGUGGCUGAAUCUGUCAGAAGAUCAAUUCCCAAGACACUAGCCUGUGAAGAUCCUUUAGCUGUGGUGAGGAUUUACUCUUCAAUCAUCUGCUGGUCAGGGCUGGAGGAGCUGUCUUCAACUUGGAGGAGUUAUCAACUGUGGACAUUCCACCUUGGAUUCCUGUUUUGGCUCCCAGAGCCUCUAUUAAUCUGGUGUCUAUCUCUAUGACAAUUCUCUCCAGGGAGCAGCCCAGGAGGCAAAGGUGACCUGCUAUAAAAAGGUAUCUAUUAAUACAUCAGAAACUAGAUAAAACAUACUUUCAAAAAUGAACCAAGGCAAGAGAAUAAUUAUAAUCCACAUUCGGUUAGCACUUUAAAGUUUGUAAGUGCCUUUCUCACAGAAAGUCAUUCAGCUAAAUAAGCACACUGUGCCCAGGCUGAGAAUUCAAAGACAGUCUCUCCUCUCAAGAGGCUUAUAGACUAAUGGGGGAGACAAAAAAGCAAACAAUGAUGUAGAAACAAGUCACAUACAGGAUAAAUAGGAAAUAAUCCACAGAGAAAAGGCUCUGGAAUUAAGAGGGAUAAGAAAAGGCUUCCUGUAGAAGAUGAGAUUUUAGCUGGGACUUGAAUGAAUUCAGGAAAACCAAGAGGUGGAAAUGAAAAGGGAGAGUAUUCCAGGCAUGGAGGACAGCCAGAAAAAAUAACCUGGAAUCAAUGGUUGAAGAUAUAAACCAAUUAAGAAAAAAAACCAUUUGCAGCAAGUCUAUCUGUUAAAAUCUGGCAUUCAAAAUAUUUAAGAUGUUAAGGAGAUAACAUGGCAAAAUGCAAAAUGCUCUGAUUCAAGAGUCCAAAGACCUGGGUUCAUAUUUUAGCUCAUGCUUAUUUAUGUGAAUUUCUCAUCUGUGUUCUACUUUUUCUGCCAUUAAACUGUAAGUUCCCAGAGGGCAAGCAUUAAAAUCAUUUUUUCAUCUUUAAAAUU
rnacentral:lncRNA from 1 species